GCCGGGUGCAGUGGCACAUGCCUGUAAUCCCAGCGGCUUGGGAGGCUGAGGCAGGAGGAUUAUGAGUUCAAAGCCAGCCUCAGCAAAAGCAAGGCACUAAGCAACUCAGUGAGACCCUGUCUCCA
rnacentral:sRNA from 1 species